rnacentral:rRNA from 1 species
GUUGAAGACUCCACCACGUUGAAAACACUGGUUCUCAUCGGAUUACCGCAGUUAAGUAAAGUUGUGUCCCGUUGGUACUUUAUGGGUGACCGUCUGGGAAUAACGGGUGUUUCUGACU